rnacentral:rRNA from 1 species
GCUAAACGCGAAGAACCUUACCAGGCCUUGACAUGCAGAGAACUUUCCAGAGAUGGAUUGGUGCCUUCGGGAACUCUGACACAGGUGCUGCAUGGCUGUCGUCAGCUCGUGUCGUGAGAUGUUGGGUUAAGUCCCGUAACGAGCGCAACCCUUGUCCUUAGUUACCAGCACGUUAUGGUGGGCACUCUAAGGAGACUGCCGGUGACAAACCGGAGGAAGGUGGGGAUGACGUCAAGUCAUCAUGGCCUUACGGCCUGGGCUACACACGUGCUACAAUGGUCGGUACAGAGGGUUGCCAAGCCGCGAGGUGGAGCUAAUCUCACAAAACCGAUCGUAGUCCGGAUCGCAGUCUGCAACUCGACUGCGUGAAGUCGGAAUCGCUAGUAAUCGCGAAUCAGAACGUCGCGGUGAAUACGUUCCCGGGUCUUGUACACACCG